rnacentral:rRNA from 1 species
UACGAAGGGGGCUAGCGUUGCUCGGAAUUACUGGGCGUAAAGCGCACGUAGGCGGCUUUCUAAGUCGGGGUGAAAUCCUGGAGCUCAACUCCAGAACUGCCUUCGAUACUGGAGAGCUUGAGUCCGGGAGAGGUGAGUGGAACUGCGAGUGUAGAGGUGAAAUUCGUAGAUAUUCGCAAGAACACCAGUGGCGAAGGCGGCUCACUGGCCCGGUACUGACGCUGAGGUGCGAAAGCGUGGGGAGCAAACAGG